UACGGAGGGGGCUAGCGUUGUUCGGAAUUAUUGGGCGUAAAGAGCUCGUAGGCGGUUUGUCGCGUCUGCUGUGAAAACUCGGGGCUUAACCCCGGGCCUGCAGUGGGUACGGGCAGACUAGAGUGCGGUAGGGGAGAAUGGAAUUCCCGGUGUAGCGGUGAAAUGCGCAGAUAUCGGGAGGAACACCGGUGGCGAAGGCGGUUCUCUGGGCCUUACCUGACGCUGAGGAGCGAAAGCGUGGGGAGCGAACAGG
rnacentral:rRNA from 1 species